rnacentral:rRNA from 1 species
UUUAACGAGAGUUUGAUCCUGGCUCAGGAUGAACGCUGGCGGCGUGCUUAACACAUGCAAGUCGAGCGAAGCACCUUGACGGAUUUCUUCGGAUUGAAGCCUUGGUGACUGAGCGGCGGACGGGUGAGUAACGCGUGGGUAACCUGCCUCAUACAGGGGGAUAACAGUUGGAAACGGCUGCUAAUACCGCAUAAGCGCACAGUACCGCAUGGUACGGUGUGAAAAACUCCGGUGGUAUGAGAUGGACCCGCGUCUGAUUAGGUAGUUGGUGGGGUAACGGCCUACCAAGCCGACGAUCAGUAGCCGACCUGAGAGGGUGACCGGCCACAUUGGGACUGAGACACGGCCCAAACUCCUACGGGAGGCAGCAGUGGGGAAUAUUGCACAAUGGGGGAAACCCUGAUGCAGCGACGCCGCGUGAGCGAUGAAGUAUUUCGGUAUGUAAAGCUCUAUCAGCAGGGAAGAAAAUGACGGUACCUGACUAAGAAGCCCCGGCUAACUACGUGCCAGCAGC